rnacentral:rRNA from 1 species
UAGGGAAUCUUCCGCAAUGGGCGAAAGCCUGACGGAGCAACGCCGCGUGAGUGAUGAAGGUCUUAGGAUCGUAAAACUCUGUUAUUAGGGAAGAACAAACGUGUAAGUAACUGUGCACGUCUUGACGGUACCUAAUCAGAAAGCCACGGCUAACUACGUGCCAGCAGCCGCGGUAAUACGUAGGUGGCAAGCGUUAUCCGGAAUUAUUGGGCGUAAAGCGCGCGUAGGCGGUUUUUUAAGUCUGAUGUGAAAGCCCACGGCUCAACCGUGGAGGGUCAUUGGAAACUUGAAAACUUGAGUGCAGAAGAGGAAAGUGGAAUUCCAUGUGUAGCGGUGAAAUGCGCAGAGAUAUGGAGGAACACCAGUGGCGAAGGCGACUUUCUGGUCUGUAACUGACGCUGAUGUGCGAAAGCGUGGGGAUCAAACA